rnacentral:rRNA from 1 species
GACGGAGGGUGCUAGCGUUGUUCGGAAUGACUGGGCGUAAAGGGCGCGUAGGCGGCCUGGAAAGUCGGGUGUGAAAGCCCGGGGCUCAACCCCGGAACGGCAUCCGAUACUGUUGGGCUCGAGACCGGGAGAGGAGGGUGGAAUACCGAGUGUAGAGGUGAAAUUCGUAGAUAUUCGGUGGAACACCAGUGGCGAAAGCGGCUCUCUGGCCCGGAUCUGACGCUGAGGCGCGAAAGCGUGGGGAGCAAACAGG